GGGGGGUGUUGUUGGUAUAGGACGCUCAUUGAUAUACGACUUCGAAUACAGAAGUAAUUUUCCACGCAAACAGAAGUAGUUCCCUUGGAAUGGCUUCUCAAGUCAGCUGAGAAUCCAUUGGAGGGCAAAUUUUAAUGGGUUUUAUUUAAUAGACUCGAAUUUGGACUGCAAUGGGCUAGUCAUUAUCAUAGACCAUGCACACAUUCAAAUAGCUAAAAACCCAGUCCUAAAAUCACAACCUAAUUGGGUUCAACUAAAGACCCUAGUUGCUUCAGGCCCUCGAUCUGAAACCCAAUAAAAAGCCCGAAACUUGCAAACUUGACAGCAAAGCGAAGCAUGAAAUUGGAGCCAAUCAAUGAUUGACAUAGCCCCCAUCAACGACAAGGUCAUGCCCAGUGACUAGCUCAGAAUCAUCACACGCAAGAAACAACACAGCGUCCGCUAUGUUUCUUGCCUUCAAUGCUACUCCUUUCAAGCUCAUGCACGGCUCAUACAUGCUCUCAAUUUCUUCCGCGCUCUUCUUAUAAGCCUGGAGCGUCAUCGGUGUCGCAAGACCAAACGGUGAGACGCAGUUUACUCUAAUCCCGUGCGCUCCCAGCUGCACGCUGGCUGACCUCACCAGUCCCACCACCGCGUGUUUCGACAUGUUAUAAGCGGUUCGCCUCUUCGUGCCUUUGCUAGCCGCUACGCUCGCCGUGCACACUAUACUCCCUCUCACGUUACCUCUCACCAUUGCACGCGCUGCAUACUUUACACAAAUGGCCAUUCCACGGACGUUGACAGCAAAUAAAUGGUCAAACGCGGAGAGGUCAAGAUCAAGGACGGUCUGAUCUGAGUUUCCUAAGAUCCCAGCAUUGCUAAACAUUAUGUCUAGCCUACCAAAAUUCUGGACCGUCCAUUCCACUAGCGAUUUCACUUGAUCUUCCUUGGAAACAUCACAGUGUACGAAGCGACACUUGUUUUCUCCUAUUGACGUAGCCACACGUUGCCCCAAUUCAUCUUGGAUAUCAGCAAUAACCACCAUAAGGGCACCGUGAUCGGCCAAAAGACGAACGGUUGCCUCGCCAAUGCCGCUGGCGCCACCGGUGACAAUCGCUACUUUGCCUGAGAGCUUCUUGGCGUUGGCGGCGGCAGUGGACAAUGUAGAUUCCGCCAUAGAUACACCAGACAAAAUAGCAAGAAAGACGAGUUUUUCAUGAAAAGUAGCGGCCGAUAUAUAGAGAAAAGUGAUGGGCAAUGGGUAUUAUCGGUUUUGGAAAAGGAGUUCACCGUCUAGAGACACGUGCUACUCACACAGAGGUGGUAUGUUUGCUGUUACAUUCAAAGACGCGCGAGUUGCAUGUGGUUCUCUUUUUGUUUGCCUUUUCUGUGGUGGGCAGGCAGCCAGGCAGGUGGGCAGUCGGCAGCAAUAUGUUUGUCGUGAAGUAAAUUCAGAAAUGCCUCUUUUUUUUUUUUUUG
rnacentral:misc_RNA from 1 species